rnacentral:rRNA from 1 species
AUACGUAGGGGGCGAGCGUUGUCCGGAAUGAUUGGGCGUAAAGGGCGCGUAGGCGGCGCGGUAAGUCUGGAGUGAAAGUCCUGCUUUCAAGGUGGGAAUUGCUUUGGAUACUGCCGCGCUUGAGUGCAGGAGAGGUUAUCGGAAUUCCCGGUGUAGCGGUGAAAUGCGUAGAGAUCGGGAGGAACACCAGUGGCGAAGGCGGGUAACUGGACUGCAACUGACGCUGAGGCGCGAAAGUGUGGGGAGCAAACAGGAUUAGAUACCCUGGUAGUCCACGCUGUAAACGAUGAUUACUAGGUGUGGGGGGACUGACCCCUUCCGUGCCGCAGUUAACACAAUAAGUAAUCCCCCUGGGGAGUACGGCCGCAAGGUUGAAACUCAAAUGAAUUGGCGGGG